GACGAACGUCGAACGUUGUUCGGAAUCACUGGGCUUAAAGGGCGCGUAGGCGGCCCGCCGCGUCCGGGGUGAAAUCCUCCCGCUCAACGGGAGAACGGCCUCGGAUACGGGCGGGCUGGAGGCGGGUAGGGGCAGGCGGAACUGUGGGUGGAGCGGUGAAAUGCGUUGAGAUCCACAGGAACUCCGGUGGCGAAGGCGGCCUGCUGGACCCGAUCUGACGCUGAGGCGCGAAAGCCAGGGGAGCGAACGGG
rnacentral:rRNA from 1 species